GAAAUAAACACCAUCCUUCAGUAUUCCUGCCACGACCUUGUCAACAGCAUCCCCCAAUUCGUCUCUCAUGAACAAACUUAUCCUUAGUGGGAAUCGAGGAGGGCUUCCUGGAAGAGGCGAUGUCUGAGCUGCCUGGAAACACAAGAAGGCACACUACAGGUUGGAGGGAGGGGAGAAGGGGAUUCCAACUGGAGACGUUUUCUGCGCUAAAAGAAGGGUGGUGGUAGAGGGAAAGGGUCGGCAAUUUGCAAAUUCGAGAGUGAGCAGGCUGUCAAAGUCCCCGAAACCGUGAUGAAUGCGCCCGGGCUUCCAGAGCCGGCCCAAGUGCUCCUGAGCGAUGGUGAUUUAUGACGGCUGAGAUUUUUCUUAAGCAAGUGGUUUUCGGAGAAAAAAGAAAGGUCACAGUGAGUUAGGCCUUACAUAUCUUAUCUUGUUCUCCACCAGCCGGCAAUCCUGAACUUGGCGGAGCCCGUGGGAGUGUGGGCUGCGGGAACGGCAUUAAUACCCAACAAACAAGUGCAGGGGUCCCCCUGACGGGCUGUGUGACUCUGGGAAGCUUGCUCAACCUCUCUGGGCCUUGGAUUCCCUGACCACCAUAGCACUCAUUGCUACUCGUUCCAAACAACGUGGUCUGUCUGGUUAUGGGCUGUCUCUCCCCCCUGUUCUCGGCUGGAUCCAGUGCCCAGAAUGUGCUGGACGCGUGGGGUAUUUGCAGAUGUGAUGAACGUAAGGAUCUCGGGAUGAGACUGGCUGGGAGCGGCGUGGGCCCUAAGUCCAAUGACGGUAUGCCCACGUGAGAGACAACAGAAGGACACAGAUGCCCAGAGGAGAGGCCACAUGAGGACGGAGGCGGAGGCUAGACAAUGUGGGCACAAGUCGGGGGACGCCUGGAGCUCCCCGAAGUUGGAAGGAGCAGGAAGGACCCUCCUCUGGAGGUUUCGGGGGGACAACGGGCCUGCCUGUACCUUGAUUUUGGAUUUUUGUCUUCCAGAAUGUGAGAGAAUAUGUUUCUAUGUUUUUGUUUUUGAAAUAUUAAUUCUGGUAAAAUACACAUAACAUAAAAUUUACCAUUUCUAGGUGUCCAGUUCAGUGGCACUAAGUAAUUCACAUUGCUGUGCAGCCGUCCCCACCAGCCAUCUCCAGAACUUUCCAUCUUCCCAAACUGAAACCCUGUCCCCAUUAAACAUGAGCUCUGCCCCACCUACCACCGGCACCCACCAUCCUACUUCCUGUCUCUGUUGGUCUUCUGACCGCUCCAGGGACCUCACGUGCACAGAAUCACACAGUAUUUGUCCUGCUGUGACUACCUUCUUUCACUCAGCCUAAUAUCCUACAAGCUUGUCCGGGUCGCAGAAUUUCCCUUUUAAGGCUGAAGAAUAUUCGGUGGUAGGUAUAUGCCACACUGGAUUUAUCCAUUUGUCUAUUGAUGGGCGCUUGGGUUGCUUCCACCUUUUGGCGAUUGUGAACGAUGCCGCUGUGAGAGUUGGGCGUGCUGCUGCAGGUCUGUCAUUUCCGGCUGCCCGGCUGUGGCGGUCUGCUCAGUAGUUCUGAGAGGCGGACACGGGCUCCAGGUGCCCACAAGCUGUCCCAGACCUCGGUUGUGAUGUGGCGGAAAGGGCAUGGGCUCUGGUCCGACCCUGCACCUUGGGGAGGGGACACUGAGCCCCGCGAGCCCUGAGCGCUGAGACGUGGGUGUGAGAAUGGAUGUGAUGAGGGCGCACGGGCAGCCGUGGGCUCAUGGAGGGUGCCUCCAGGCACCAGGAGGAAGACGACAAAGGAGGAGGACCGGUCCCCGCUCGGGAGGCUGAGCUUCAUUGGGGAGCGCAGGAAUCCUGACCGGGAGGGCGAGGGGAAGGCGGACAGGGAGGCAGCGGCCCAGGGCCAGGCGGGGAGGCCUCUCCUGGCCACACCCAGCAGCACCCGGGGCUUCUCUCCGUUGGGAGCCUCGGGCAGCAGGUGAGGAAGGAGGAAGUGCGUUCUCCACGCCUGGAGCUGACGGCUCACCGGGUCUCGGCGGGAUUGGCAUCUCCUCGAUGGCAUCAGCUCCUUGGAACCGGAAAGGCAGUUUCCAUUGGGUUUGUCCUGGCCACCCACCCAGGGAGACGGAGUCUAGCCUGGUUCCCAGAGUUUGGGCAAAGACCGAUCAAUGGCCUGGCGUCCGAGUGAGGACGUGCAAUGCAUUUUUGGAGGAAAAAUGCCUCUUCUCGGACCUCCCCCAGCAGAGCCUUCCCCACGGGCGGGUUGGCUGUGGAGCGAAGGCCCAGUGCUGGGUGCCAGGUGACAGAGGGGACCCUCCGGACGCCAUUUCCACAUCCUGGAGCCUCCGUUCUGGAGGGGUGUGUGUGUCCUAUGGUGUGGUGACUGAUGACCAGAGACCGAGCGGCUUAAACCAACAGACACUCCUUCUCCUCCAGCUCUGGAGGCUGGAAUGUGAAAUCGGCGUGUGGGCAGGCCCAGCCCCCCGGAAGCUCCAGGCACUCGGAUCCCAGACUCUCCCUCUCCCACGGUGGCCGGCAGCAUCGGAGAUGGGGCUGCCUGUCAGGAAGGGCCCCUGGGUGACCACAGUGAGGAGACCCCCGUCAACCCUCGGUGGGCACAGUGUCAGUGAGAGACAAACUCCUGGCAGUCGGAGAUGCUCUUGUUACCAUGGCAUAAGCUAGCCUGUGCUGACCGACCACCUCCAGAGGCACCGGGUGAAGAUAGCGCCAGCCAGUGGCCUGGAAGCUUCUAGAAUGAUGGCCUCUUCUUCCCAACAGAUCUGUCAGCAAAUCUCCAACCGUAGCAUCAUUGAGCGAAUCAAUGCUGAGAAAAAAAUGGGCAAAUUCCAAAUAAUUGAAAAACGAUCUGAAAUACGGACUCCACGCACCACCACUAAUGAAAAUCUCUCCCUUGGUACUUAGACAUGAGCGGAGGUUGGCACAUUAUAUGAGCUCCAAACAAAGAAAUAUGCCUAUGCUGGGGGUGUGCACUUUAGGGUUUUGGGGAGCACAAUGAAAAUGUUGGGAGACGGCAGCUGUGGAUGGCUCAGAACAUUCUGGAAUGGAUGAGGCCAUGCUGUUAUUCCACAGCCUGGGAGACGGCGGUCUGGAGGAGGAAGGGGCCCGUGGGAUGUGAUGGACCCCUUGCAUUGUGGCAUUUCUUAGGUGCUACGGCCCCAGGCUCUCGGUCUCCUGUCACUUGGAGACACUGCAUUGUUCUGCCCCCUCAGGCUGUGCCUUGGGUUCGGGGUCCUGACCAAGGUCACCUCUGCCGCAUGGCCUCGCCCGGAACCCUCCCUCGCUCUCCUCUCCCUUCUUCCGGCCACACGGAUUCCUCCCCAUGGCUCUCUGGUUUCAUCACAGUUGUCAGAACACGUGUCCAUCCUGUGCAUGGUUUCUGAGCCCCUACUGGGUGUCAGGAUGGGGAGAUGGACGAGUCCAACAUGGUGGCUGCCCCCGGAGCCCGUCCUCUGACCUCUCAUCCUUGUGGCCCUUUCCUACCACUGACACGACCACACGAAGACGGAGCCUUUCAUCCACGGUGUCUCUGCCGUUUUUAUCCUCCUUAUCUCACUUGAUCCUGUGUGCAUACACAGGUCUACGGUUUUUCUAAUUUCCUAUAAAGCAGUGCCAACCUUUUUCUCAAAGAAAAUCUUGCAUGGGUCCCAAUAUAAAAGAGAUGUUAAGUGAAUCCACUUAGGGUAGCAACAUGGACAGACCUGGGCAGAUGCCUGGCCUGCACCUGUGCCUCAGUUUCCCCCAUGGGAUCGCUGAGGCCCCCCACAGGCUGAAACCUCGGGGAAUCCCUUGAGGUCAGAGGCUGUGUGACUGACCCAUGUCUCCAGUGUCCCACAUGCAGCUGGCACCCAGCAGGCACUCAGUGUGGUGGGCUCCGUGCAAACACUGAUGGUGGUACCGUGGGUGCUUUGGAGAGCCUGAGGGGCCACCUUUGGUGCUGCCUUAGACCUGGGGAGGGCACUGCGUCUUUGAGGGCCCCAGCUGUUGGGGGGUAGUUGGUGGGGCCAGGGGACAGGCUCACCUGAAGCUCACACUUGGUUUUAGGCCAUGUUCCAGGUACCUCGGACCUGGCAUUCCCCACCAAAUGUCCCCAAGCCUAGCCCGUGGCCCAUGUGGGUUUAGAGCUGGGUCUGUCUUCUGGAGGGCAGACCAGCCUGCAGGCAUGUAUCCCUGGGCCUGACUGAGGGCAGACCAGCCUGCAGGAGUGUGUGUCCCUGAGACCGAAAAGUGUCCAUGGGCCGUGUUUUGAGAAGACGGACAUAGCUUGGACAUGCAGUUUGGGAUGUCUGCACACACAGGCACAAAGUCCUCACAGCGUAGGACGGGCCUGGGGUGGGCAGGUUGGGGGGCUGGAGUCUGGGCCCAGCUGCCCUCCGUCCCUUCUCCCAGUGCCUGAUGGUCUUCCUUGCAGCCUGAGCAUCCUGACCGGGGAGCCGGCCUUCCACGAGGUUCUGAAGGGUCUUUGUUGAGGCUGGAGAAGAGAACGUGUUUCCUUUAGCAGCCUGUUGGAAGGAGCUCGCCUGGAUGACGGGGUCACCUGACUUGUGUCCAGAGUGAGGAUUCGUGGCGUUGUCGGCACCUGUUAUCACAGGUUCAGAUGGGUGAGCCAGUUGCCGUGCUGGGCCGCCCUGGGAAGAUCCCGGUGGGAUGGGGCCAAUGCACAGGGCCUGGCGAGGCACAGACCCCUCCCUCCUCUCCCUGGACGUCGGCCACGGCCCCCAUGGUCACUCUGCAAUCAGCCUCCGCAUUAGUCUGCUGGGGGCCCCUUAAAUCCCACAGACGGGUGGCUUAAACCCAGGAGUUUACUCUGCACCGUUCUGGAAGCUGGAGGUCUGUGGUCCGGGGGCCGGCGUGGUCAGGUUCCUGGUGAGCCCUCUUCCUGGCUUACAGACGCCACCUUCUCGUGCUGUGUCCACACGUGGAGGGGAGAGAGGAAGCAAUCUCUGUGAUGUCUCUUUUACAAAGGCACUAAUGCCGUCCUGGGGAUCCCGCACUCCUGAGCUCGUCUGACCUGAUCACCUCUUUCUCCAAAUACCACCGUCAAAUGGGGGCGCAACUCAGUCCACAGCAGCCUCCUUCCCUCUGAGUCAUCUCUAGUUUAUCUUCCAAAGCAUCUUCGUACACGCAAAUCUGAUCCGUCAUUCCCCAGCCUAAAGCCUGCCCGAGGCUCUGAGCCUGGGUUCCACGGUCCGGCAGUCAAGGCUCCCACAGCCGGCCCCUGCUGCCACCAGAGGCAGGAGAUGAGGCCCUGCCAAAGUGGCGGCUGCGGCUUCUGAGAUGAGGUCACAAAAGAUGGUGACUUGCCCCUUGCUGGCCCUCUUGCACUCUCUCAGAGCCCUCGCUCUGGGCACCAGCCUCCACGCUCCAAGCUCCCUUAGCAGAGGCCACACACCAGCCAGGACUCAAGGCCCCUCAGUCCAACAGCCACCAGAAACGGAUCCUGCCAAGAGGCGUGUGGAGCAGAUCCCCUCCCUAGUGGAGCCUGGAGAGGACAGCAGCCGGGGAGACCCUGGGCAGGGACCCCGCUGGGCUGCACCUGUUCCCUGGCCCACAGGAACUGCAGGGGCCUUGGCUUUCUCGGCACAGCCCUGAGAACCCGGGUGUGUGACAGAGCAGACACAGGGGGUCCCAGCCGCGGGGGCAGGUGACCCUCCUGGGACCCCUGAGGCUUUUGCAUCCCAGGCCCCAAUGUUCAGACGUCAAUUCUGAGGAGCAGAGGCAAGGGGCUGACCUUGAGUCAAGCUGGAAGGUGAAUGGCGCUAACAGACG
rnacentral:lncRNA from 1 species